rnacentral:rRNA from 1 species
AUGGAUACGCAUGGUACAACAUGCAGUGCUAGACCUGAUGGUAGAAGACUUGUGUGGGAUCUGAUAUGGAAAAAUAAUGCUCUUGCAAAGGUCCGUAUAUUUGCUUGGAAAGCUGCGAGGGACUAUCUUGAUACACAGGCCACUAAGAAGUAUCGUCACAAGGAAGAGGACAACACAUGUACGUUGUGUGGUAUGGAGGAGGAGAAUACACACCAUGCCCUUAUUCGAUCCCCCCAUGCUGUAGGCCUUUGGCAAGCUAUGCAUGAAACUUGGGAACUCCCUACACAGGAAAUGCUACGGGACGCCGAGCCGGAUUGGAUAUUUCGUCUGCUUGGAAACCUUACGGAGACACAGAAGCUCGCCUCAUUGAUGAUUAUCUGGAGGAUUUGGUACGCGCGGAAUGAGAUUACACACCAUAAACCUCCAGUUCCUUUUGAAGCAUCACGCUGGUUCUUAACCAGCUAUAUUAUUUCUCUCAUCGCAAUCAAGCAAUAUCCAGAAGUAGAAUUGGUGAAAGGCAAAUAG